rnacentral:lncRNA from 1 species
GAAACCUGUUGACCACAGUGUUCCUCUCCUUAUCUCUUACAAACACCUUUAAACACUGCAAUCUAAUCUAAUCUAAUCUGAAAACCAAACAUGUUGGUUCUUUCUUCCUUUCAACCUGAUGCAGGAAGCAGAGGGUUUGGUCAGCAGGAAACACUGCGGGCUGAAAGGCGUGUUCACUUGGUUUGUAAAUAUGUGUCUUGAGCGAUCUCUCUCUUGAGUUUUUGGGAGUCUGGCCUUGCAAGCACAAAGGAUAAGCAAGAAAGCAAAGAUAUGCCUGGACCAGAAAAAGCCGCAUAGAAUGGGCAGCAAAGCUUUUGACUCUGUCCAGGGUGGUUUAUUAAGAAUGUGAUUCCUUUGACAAUAUAACUUAAGGAACCAAGAGUCGAAUGCUGCUACUACAGUCACUGAUACCACGACUGCAACAAUUAGAAAAGGACAUAGAAGAGUUUCACUGCUGGGUAGCCAAGGCAAAGGUAACAUCAACUUGGCCAGAUAGAAAUAACAGCACUAUGCAUCUCACAGGAAUGUGGAGAGAGUUCGAAGAUGCUAUGGAUGCCAUGCUCUGCACGUCCAGGUAUGUUAAAUGAUCUUCUGACAAUACCUGGCUGUUCAUGUGCCAACUGGUCUUUGCUUGGGCUAAGCAGCUUUCCUUCUUGGCAAUCAGUUUGCCACGUGGCCCUCUUGCGAGGGGGCACAGCGAC